CCCGCCCCGCCCCGCGCCGCGCCCCGCGCCCCGCACCCCCCGCGCCCUGCUCCAAGGGCCCCGCCAGAGCGGCGACCUGAGGCGCCGGCCCGCCUGCCGGGCCUGUGCUCCCGAGAGAAGGCCCGCCACCACCCGCCGCAGCCCCUCCUGCCGUUCCCCCGGGCCGCGGGAGCGCGCGCACCUCCAGGGCCACGCGGCCUGCCGCCCGGCGGUUAGGGCCCCAGCUGGAACCGUGCCGGGAUGACAGCGUCCAUCCGCCACGUGGAAAGGUAAUCAGGAUGAACACACACUCUUUCUCCGGAAGGAGUUUCCCAGGGUAGAAAGGCUCUAACGUCAGUCCCAGCUAUUUCACUCUAAGUUCUUACAUUUUUAGCUGAAGAGAUCCGUUCUGCCCGGGACUCUAGAAAGGAAAGCAAAAGUGAAAUUGAACAAAGGGGACAUGCUAUUCUGACUCCAAAGUAAAUAUGAAAGUCCUCAUGAGUGCCGGGGAUUUCCUGGUCCACUGGCAACUUGAUGACUUGCAAAUGAAACAAUGGGAUCAGCCUGGAACAAGUGCUAAUGAAGAAAUCCGCAGGAAGUCCUGUCACAGGGACAGAGCAGUCCUCCAGGUGACGUCUGCCCUUCCGAGUGGCAGCUUACUGGUGAAUUCUUUGUCCUGAGAGUGCUUCAUGGACAUCGCUGACACAGUCUGAAGUCACCCAGAUGGAGAUCAAGAAUGCCUUCCAUCAGCCCAGAAAUUUCCUUCAUGCCUCUUUCCAGGGGACACUUAUACAGACACGCCACCCUGGCCUCAAACACUCCUGGGAUGGGUCUCAUGGCGGCUUCAGCCUGUCUGCUCUGACUUCACAUACGUGGACUUGUAUGGCUUCUCUCCCUCACCUCCCUCCUUUUAUCCACGUGAGAGCGCGUGCCCGCCGCUUGCUGUCUUUGCCAACACACAGUAUCCCACCAGAUAAAUAUAGCCUAGUGAUGUGGGGCUCCAUCCUGGGACCCCACAGUCUAUUGUUCUCCUGCUGAUGGACAUGGGGUUACUUCCUGUGUGGUCCCAUAAGCAGAGCGAAGCUAGGGAUGUUCUGGCUCAAGCGUUUUUGUCAGUCUCUGGAUUCAUGUCUGUUUUAUAAGUACCUGGUAGGUAGGUUUGUAUUUCAUUUCAUGAGGCGCUGCCAAGACUGUGACAAGGUGUUGGCAGCAUUUCACACUCCCACCAGCAAUACAUCACAAUUCUAGCUGCUCAACGCCCUCUGAGGACUAAGUCUGAUCUCUUGAGUAUGCUCUGGUAUCUCAUUAUAUUUCUAAUUUUUAUUUCCUGGUAAUUAAUGACGUCGAAUGUAUUUUCCUAUAUUCUUUCUUGACUUAGACAUCAACCUCUCUGAAACGACUGUUCAAAUCUUUAGUUUUAAACCAAACAGACUGACUUAUUAUUUUUUAAGAUAUAUUUAUUUAUUUUAGAGAGAGGUAGAGAGAGUGUGUGUGCAUGCUCAUGCAAGCGGGAGGAGGGGCAGAGGGAGAGAGAGAGAAGCCCAAGCAGACCCCACACUCAGCAGGGAGCCCGGUGCAGGGCUCAGUCUCACACCCCAGGGUCUGUGACCUAAGCAGAAGUCAAGAGUCAGAUGCUUAAUUCGCUGAGCCACCCUGGUGCCCCCAACUUUUUAUUAUUGAUUUAAGGGAGUUCUUUACAUAUUCUGGGUAUCAGACCUGUUAUAUACGUUGUGACUUUUUUUUGCCAAGUUGGUGGCUUGUCUUUUGCCUUUACAGUUUCUUUUAAUGAGUAGAAUAUAUUAAUUCUCAUGGAGCCUAAGUUAACAAUAUUUUCUUUCAUGUAGAAUGCAUUUUAUACCCCAUUUAAGAAAUCUCACCUACCUCAAGGUCAUAAAGAUUUUCUUCUAUGGGUUCUCUUAGAAGCUGUGAUAUUAACUUUUGCACUUAGGACUAUGAUUCUUCUCAGAUCAAAUUUUGCAUGUGGCGUGAGUGGAGAGGCAAGGUUCAUUUUUUUUUUUUUCCUAAACAUUGUUCCAACACAAUUUAUUGUAAAGUUCCUUUCCUCAUUGAAUGCUUUACUGUCUUUGUCAAAAAUCAACUGAACUUAUAUGUGGAGGUUCCUUUUUGAACUCCAUAUUCUGUUCUGUUAAUCUCUUUCUCUAUCCUUAUGACAAUACUGUACUGAUCACUGUAUUUUUAAAGCAAGCGUUGAUAUCAAACAGCA